UACAGGGGUGGCAAGCGUUGUUCGGAAUUACUGGGCGUAAAGGGCGCGUAGGCGGUCUUGUCAGUCCCUUGUGAAAUCCCCCGGCUCAACUGGGGAACUGCACGGGAAACAGCAGGGCUUGAGUUCGGGAGAGGGAAGCGGAAUUCCGGGUGUAGCGGUGAAAUGCGUAGAUAUCCGGAGGAACACCGGUGGCGAAGGCGGCUUCCUGGACCGAUACUGACGCUGAGGCGCGAAAGCUAGGGGAGCAAACGGG
rnacentral:rRNA from 1 species